rnacentral:lncRNA from 1 species
AAGAGACAUACCAUAGAUAAUACUUCAUAACUCUUCAUUCUCUACUUCUCUAAUGGCAUGGGCAUAGGUUGAUAGCUUCUCAACUUAAUCCUAAUAAGAACCAAAUUGAUGAAAUCUCAACUCAAAAGAACAAAAAUUAACUAGUAUAACAAUUACAGCAAUUGUUUGUUGAAACAAUUACAUAAACUAACUUAUAGUUUACUAUUAUGUUCUUAAUGUUAAUCAUACAGUUGCUUUUAUUAAUUAAUUUUUAACUUGAUUGUACUGUCUUAAGAAUAUAUACAAUCAGGUCCACAAGCAGAUUUUGUAAGAAUUGAUAAUAAUAUAAACAAGUAGCUCAGUUCCACAUACAGUUGCUUACCAAUAAUUAAGCAUUAAUCAGUUUAACAAGCGGUUGAAACAGUUCCAUCAACAUCAAACCAUGUCCACACUCCACAAUCAUAAUGGAGCCAAGAAAAUGAAGCAUGUUACAUUUCAUAUCAUUCAAAAGCAGAUG